rnacentral:misc_RNA from 1 species
AAGGCACAGAUUUCAGAGAACAG